rnacentral:rRNA from 1 species
ACGUAGGGUGCAAGCGUUAAUCGGAAUUACUGGGCGUAAAGCGUGCGCAGGCGGUUUUGUAAGCCAGAUGUGAAAUCCCCGAGCUUAACUUGGGAACUGCGCUUGGAACUGCAAGACUUGAGUGUGUGAGAGGGGGGUAGAAUUCCACGUGUAGCGGUGAAAUGCGUAGAGAUGUGGAGGAAUACCGAUGGCGAAGGCGGCCCUCUGGGCUAACACUGACGCUGAGGCGCGAAAGCGUGGGGAGCAAACAG